CCAGGGCUGCAGAGCAGAGGAGGGCGAGGCAGAGAAAGAGCAGACUGUAGAUUUGCAGGGCUAGUAGCAGUAUGUGAUCCUUGUGUUGUGCAAGCCACCCUUCAACCUUGACAACCUGAGUUCUGAGCCAGGUUUUAGGAGAGAUCCUGAGGGGCCCUGAUGCCACAUGCGGCAUUGACAGAUGUGUUGCAUCCUCUCCUCUGACUUCGCAGACUCAGAAGGUAGUGCAGGAAAGAACUUCUGGGUUACCUGUUUCUGCCUACAAUGAAAGAUGAAAAACACUGAGCCAGAGAGGCUCCACCUUUGUAGUUCCCUACAUGUUUCCUAGUUCCAUAGAAAAUGAAUAGAUCUCAGAGCAUGCGCAAGUAGGGGAGGGAGAGAGAGGAUCCAAAGUAGGCUGGAAAGCGCGAGACUUGAUCCCAUGAACUGUGAGAUGGUGACCUGAGCUGAAAUCAAGAGUUUGAUGCCUGACCCACUGAGCCACCCAGGUAUGCUCCCACCCCCAUCGACCUUUUUCUGCCUAAUCCAGGCAUAGAACCAGGGAUGUCUCCAAAAAGAAUGGAUUAUACCACCUUCAGAUAAUCUUUAAUGAUGUGUAUAGAGUGUGCAACAGAUGGGUUAAAGGUAUUUUCUGGCAAAUGUUUCCCCAUUUCCUUUCCAUAUUUCAAACCAAAUCACUGUUGGAUCUGUCUGGUAAGGGACAUUAGUGAUCUUAUUAUGGCAAAUGUCAUGGAUACUUUAGUACUGAAGUUACCUUAAUUAAGGUAAUGCUCAGUGAAUUGAGCAUUCUGUCCAGUUUUUACGUUCAUGUCCAGUCUCUCCUAGAAAGUCUUGUUGGUUGUUUUCUGGUCUAUUCCUUCUUCUGGAAUUCUUUUCUGUCCUCUCAGUAGAGUCUUCUUCCUCUUUUUGCCUCUUAUUGUUUCUCCCACAGUGUCUGUUAUUGAUCUCUUCACUCUCCAGUGAUUGUCCUCACUCUCCUGGUCUUGCUGACUAAUCUGUUCUCUCUGGAGAUGUACCAUUUGCUGGGAUGCUUGAAUCUGGCUCUCUGGUCCAGCCCUCUCCCCUACCUUAGACCUUAAUGGCCAACUGUGAAUGGCUCGUCUAAAGGCCCUUCAAACUCUACAGAUCCCCCCGCUGCCCUGCCACCCUUCUUUAUUUCCUACUAAAUGUUAUUACCAGCCAGCUCAUCAUCCAGGUAACAAACAUAGCUUUUGUUCUAAGUGCUGGCCUUUGCCUGCAACCUACACAUCCAGUUGAUAAAUAAAUCUUGUUACUUUCAAGUUGUUAAUGUUUCUUUCUUUCUUCUUCUUCUUUUUUUUUUUUUUUUUGAAAUUGAAAUUAAGUGCACAAAUCCGAAGGGUACAACCUGAAUUUUUCGUACACUAUGCAUCUGGGCGGCUAUCACCCAGGUCAGAAUAAGGGUCAUUUUCUGCAAUGCAGAAGGCUCCCUUUGUGUUCUUUCCAAGACAGUACUUGCCCACUCUCACUCGAGGGGAACCAUUAUUUUGAUUUCUAUUAACAUUUAUUAGUUUUGUCUUAUUUUAAACUUCAUAUGAAUAGAAUCAUGCAAUAUAUGUUCUUUUGUGUCUCAUCUGACUUCUUUUACUGAGUGUUACGUCUGUAACAUCAUCCGCGCGUAGCACUAGUUUGUUUUUUUCCCACUGUAUGACUCUACCACAGUUCAUCCAUUCUGCUCUAGAUGGAUAUUUGGGCUGUUUUUAAUUCUGGCUUUUGUAUAUGUCUUUUGGUGUACAUAUGCACUUGAUUCUGAGGAAUAUAAACCUAGAAGUGGAAUUGAUGGGUCAUAGAACAUAUGUAUGUUUGGCUUUGACAGAUUUUGCCAGUGGUUUGACAAAAUAGUUGUACUACUCUACCUUGCCACCAGCCGUCCACCAGUCCUGUUGCACUGUAUCCUUGACCCUUGACAGCAUUUGAUAUUGUUUGUGAGGUUUCUUUUGUUUUCAUUUUCUUUCUUUUCUUUUCAGUAUUUGGUGAGUGAAUGUAGUGGUAUCUCAUUGUGAUUUUAAUUUGCACUUCUCUGAAGGCUGAUGAUGUUGAGCAUCUGUCCAUAUUAACUGACCAUUUUGAUAUCUUUUUGUUGAAGUGUGUUUCAGUCUUGUCCAUUAAAAAUUUUGGUAGCUUGUCUUUGCUAUGUUAACUUGUAGGAAUUCCUUGUAUGUUCUUUAUAGGAGUCCUUUGUCGGAUACAUGUACUGCAAAUAUCUUCUUUGAGACUUUUUCUGAAUUUAAUCAAGUCCAGUUUAUCAAUCUUUUCUUUAAUUGUUAGUGCUCUUUGUGUCCUGCUUAAAAAAUCUUUGCCUGUCCAAAAGUCAUAAGGGAAUCCACCUGUGCUUUCUUCUAAAAGCUCGGAUUGUUUUACUUUCACAUUUAAGUGUAUGAUCCAUUUUGAAUUAUUAUAUGUAAAUGCACACACAUGUAUCUUUCCCUGUCUCUUUUUUUGUCAUGAGCUAUGGCUAUCCCGUUCCUGUAGUACCUUUUAUGAAAAAGACUUCCUUUCCCGCGAGAGUUUUGUUGAAAAUCAGGUGACCAUGUAUGUGUGUGUCUCUUUUUGGAUUCUUAUUUCUCUUCAGUUGUCUCUUUAUCUAGUCUCAUGCCAAUACUACCCUGCCCUUAUUAUUGUAGCUUUAUAAAAAGUAUUCAUAUCUGUGGGAAUAUGUUUUUUACUUUCAUUCUUCAAGAUUUGUCUUGGCUACUUUAAGUCCUUUGUAUUUCCAUAUAAACUUUAUAAUAAUCUUUGUCAACUCCCCCCCCCCCCCCCCCCCCGCCAAUCUGUUGGAAUUUGGUAUGACAUUGAAUCUAUAGAUUGAUUUGGCAGGCUGGUCAUAUUAAUAAAGACUUGAAUUUUCAAUUCAUGAACAUGACAUUUUUCUUCAUUUAGGCUCUCUUUUUCUCAGCACUGUUAGAUAAAUUCUAUAUAUACGUCUUGUACUUUUUUUUAUUAGAGUUAUCCUUAGUUGAAAAUUUUUCUCCUUAUUUGGGUGUUGCUGAUAUAUAGAAAUAUAGUGGAUUUUUGUAUAUUGAACUUUUUUUAGUGACCUUACUGUGAUGUCUCUCCCAAUAGGAUGGAGGUGAAAGAAUUCACCAGAGGCAGAACAAAGGAGAUAGAAGUUUAUCAAAUACACCCCAAGGGAGUAGAGGGCAGGACAGCAAAGCAGAGGUUGUCUGCAAUAAGGCAGUGGUGGGGGCUGUAUUUAAAGGGGAAAAGUGAGAAGGUAGGUGACAAAUGGAAUUUUCCCUUUCUUGGUAACUCUGCGUGGUUGUAACUAGCCCACUGAUUAGUUAAGGCCUAUGGAUAUUUUGAGGCGUGUCAUCUAAUGAGACUGUUUGUAUUCAGCCAGGGGAUUGGGGUCCCCCUGGGCCCUUUCUAUAUUCAUUGUUCAAGGCUGUCGCCUAAAUGUGGCCUCUACACUUACCAUUUAUUAACUCAUAGUUCAUCUGUAAAUUAUUUUGGAUUUUCUACCUACACAACUAUGUUGUAUGGACAUUUUUUACUUUAUCUUUUGUCUUUUUUUAAAAUUAAAAAAAAAUUUUUAGAGAGAGCUUGCGAGUGGGGGGAGAGGGGCCAAGGGAGAGAGAGAGACAGAAAGACAGAGAGAAUCUUA